rnacentral:ncRNA from 1 species
GGGUGCGAGGCGCAGAGGGGCGCCACGCAGGAGUCGCGAAGGUCGGGCCGCCUCG